ensembl:lncRNA
UCGAUUACCGACUUACACACUGUAGAAUUGCAAUUUUUUAUUUUUUUUUAAACACAAAGCGCUUCCUCACUGAUGGAGAGGGAGAGAAAUAUAUCUUCAGUCCUUUAGGAAAAAUGUUUAGGAUUUUUCAAUUGUCUACACAUAACACCCAUGUCUUUUACGGAAGGCUAUAUUUGAGCCAUCUCCCACAGCAAUAUCUCAAUUUAAUAGAACAGUAACGGGAUACUAGCCUAGAACACUGUUCAAUUUGAUUACGCAGUUCAUGGGGACUGCAGACUUUGAUAACGGAUUGAUUUAUUUUGCAGAGAGCUUGAAAUAAUAAUCCUCUGCUAAACCUUCAUGGCCCGCAGGCUCAAACUUUUAAUAACGUUAUGAGAGAGAUGAGCACACUGCAUCACUCCGGGCCGGGUGCGGCUCUGCUCAACCGUCUUGUACAAUAGACUCCUCUCGUAACCGCGGGUGUCUCUGCAUGAUGGCUUGUUUGUUUCAGCGUGUUUGCAGGUGUCAGAGCCAUGGAAUUGGCCCUUGGGUUUCAUUUGAAAACUCUUAUGUGCUCUUAAAUUGCCCGUGCCGUAAAUCACAGUGGUGUCGAGUGUUCAAAAAAUGCAGUACUUCUUUGUAAAUGCUGCACCGUCCCUUUAAUAGUUGUGGAGUUUAUUAAAGAGCAGCAGAGGGGUUUCAGGCUUCACUGGCCGCAACGCAAUGCAAAAUUAAGAAAGGGCCAGGAUUAGGGCACACGGGGGAGAAUGUGCUAUAAACAAGCUGAAACUGCCUUGAACUGCCACUGGGGGCUCAUAAAAACUGAAUGGAGACUGUGAAAUGUGUGAAUUAUUUAACUCGGUGCAGCAAAGAGCGUACGGAUGCUGCAUUCUGAAUGAGCACGUGUGGACAGGUACAUAAUUGCUGACAUGACUGUCAGCCUGCAAAUAUCAGAAAGGUCAGUAGAAACCCGGUGAAGGUUUUGUCAUUUAAAAGGAAAACUAUAUUACUGUAUUUGAAGUUACUGACAAUAAUAAGAUAAUUGAAAUAGUCAAACCUGCGGUUGGGAGAUGCUUCACGUAAAUAUAAAGUCAUGUAAAGAAAUGCUUCAACAUCUGGACAAAUGGCUGAUGGACUUUCCUGCUGAGAGUUGAAUGAGUAGAUCCAACAGACAUCGGGACAUCGCCUCUAAUUCUAAUCCAAAAUAUUUAAGGGCACACACUGUACUGUGUAUUUACGUACUGUUGUUUUUUAAUUGGUUAAUAUAGAAAACAUCCUUAGAGAUGAUGCGUUUGUAGGGGCACGGUGGGGAAGAGAUUUGCAGAGACAAGGCACCAACUUUGUGAUUGUUUUUUCUGUCAACUCAGACACAGCAUAUAAAAUAAAGGUCCUGUAUCGCCUCGAACCAACGAUUUCUUUAAAAGCUUUUAAAGCCCAAAUGGAGUCUGCACUCACCGCACUCUUUGCGCCAGCGAUGGAACAUAUUCCGUUGAAGUGAGCUGUGGGCCCGAUGCUGAUGCUAAAUAGAGCUGAGACGAACAGCAGAGGGUAAUAUUUCUCUGUGGGAUUGUCAUUACGAGUGACCCCUUUCUCGUUACAAGAAGUUGUUUAAUCCAUAGCGCGCAUGAAUAUAUUGAUUAUAACCACUACAGGGAAAUUAACUCACAUAUGAUUUGAGACUGUCAGAUGAAAUAUCAUGUAUCUCAAUUCAAAAGGCAUCAGUGCUACGCUGUGAGACACUGUUUGCCCAUACAACCGCCCACCUAUCACACCUAUUAGGUUUGGGGGAUGAGAAAGGCGUCUGGCCUUAUACACGCUAUCAUCAGACCAAGAUGUUAUUAUUUCACCAGCCGGUGCCCGUCUCCCACGACCACAAAAGCUCAUUACGAUUGAUAAGUGAUAGCAUCACUUAAUCAUGACUGGACAAAGGCCACGGCCAUCCAAACAAGUCCCCCGAUUGAAUUAAUGGUAUUCAUUAAGCCCCAAUGAGAGCCUUUACAGAUGCCGCGACCUUAUCAUGCCACUUCAUCUUCCUGAAGAUUGACUGAGGUAAAAUAGAAGCACAGGGAGUGAAAGGAGAUGGCAGAAAGGAAGAGAGAGAAGGAUUGAGAUUAGCGGAAGAUGAGAGAAUGAGCCCCAGGGGGAAGGAGGAGUGUGAAGUAUUAGAGGUGUUCACUUCCCCGCAGGUGGAUUAACACAUUUCCACUGGGAGAACGGCUCCAGCAAAGAUCGCACCAGAGCAGAUUACCAUCAACGACGCGUCGACUUGAACACGCUCAGACUAACGUCCCCUCCAAUGCCGUAUUCCGUCAAAAGUCUCUUGAAGGAUACAGUUUGUGGACAACAUAAGAUAUUCCUCAUUACUGCGAGUAACCCGAGGCGUAAUGUCCACUCGGGGACCCCAGACCUUGAGUUAGAGGACAUAUUUCAGCUGCUGCCUUAAAAUCAGCACCAACAUGAACGUGCCUGCCUGUAAAAUAUGAAUCAUUUACAGCCGAGCCCCCGACUGCUCGCUAAUACGCUGCCGUGCUCUCGGACUCCCCGAAGCAACUCCGAACCAGCAGCCCAGGAAUACACAAUGAUUUUGACCCCUGAGGUCCAUGCGCAGAAGGGAGGUUAUGUAGUUAAGGCAGCAAGCCAUUCACCUGAUUGGUGGGCUGGCUGUUAGGUCGCGGCUGACUGCAUUCUUAUUCUUCUGACGGCGCUUUGGACGUGGUUGUGGCUCAGCUGGUUUGGAUCGGAUACCAUGCAUCAAGUUCUGUGUUGGUUUUGUCAUAAAUGUGCUUUGCGAUCCCAGGACAUGGAUCUUUUGAGAGAUGUAACAACUAAAAGCUUUGCUUAAUAAAUAACCCCUUUCAGACGUGGAAUAUCUGACAUGGCUGCUUCUUGUCUGUAGUUAUAGAAUGAUCUGUGUUUUUAGUGAGCCACGCGACUUCCAAAGACUUGAUGCAAACGUUUCAUGGGGCAUGUCUCAUGCAGUGAAAACAAGUAUUGUAAUAUGUAAUAUUGUUUAAAACUCUGAAAACAGUUCAAGGUUUUAAUAAAAAUGUGAUGCUAUCUACUCAGGAAGUGACGGACAUUUAUGAAGUUUGUCAACAUAGAGAAGGCAAUAUAUGUGAUAAACACGGCAUUAGAACACGAAUCAGGGGGCCGGGGGCUCAUGUAUAUAUAUCAACUUCAUUACUGGUCUGAAGUGGCUCUUAAAACCUCCAUAACAGUAAACUAACACCCACAAAAACAUGUUACCGUCAUCCGCAGCCACUACAGCGAUGCACGGCAUACACAGGGCUGAAUUGGGGACAUCUGCAUUUGCAUUGUUGCACAUUGCGCCCGUUAUGAGCCUUAAACCCCGUCGAUUCAAAUGAGUGUGCAGCCACGUGGGUCACACUGUUGGGGAACCCCUGUGCGGCCCCCUUCUGUUAAAACAGCGUCACCAGGCUUUUUUUUUUUUGCUGACUUAGUUUCAACAGGAAUUCUCUGAAGUAAACAAAUCAAUUUUUAUAACGCUGUUGAUUUCACACUCGAGAACAGACACGGAGCGUGUGUUUGACAAAGAAUCACACGUCCAUUGAGUUGCAGAGUGCGCGCGUGUGUGUGUAUAUACAUACGAUUUAGGCUGGCAGUUACACUCUAGAUAAAAAGUUGGAGAACCGCUGAACCUCUGUACACCAGUCAUUCAUCAUUGUCAGCAGUCAAGUCCGGGGCCAAACGCCCCCCCCUCCCCUCUCGUGAAACAUAUUGUUGACUAAUGCACACACAAUUUCUUUCAUUUAGUCACAGCUCAGUUUGUAAUUACACAGAGGGAUGGCUAUCAGAGCAGCAUGCAUUGUAUAAAGCGUUGGUGCAGACAGCGAGGGACGGGGAGGGAGGGACGGAGUCCUGCGUAAACCUUUCAGGGAAUCAGAUUUGCAAGCAGAAGCGGGGGGAAAUGAAAGUGCGCAAGCCUUGUGAGAGCUGCUGAAUGUGUUUGUGGUUAUUGAGCGAGCGGUCAGGAUGCUGUCAUUAAACAAACAUGCUUGGACGUCCGUGGGUGCCAUUUUUGUGGCAUUUUAUGGUUUAAUCCCUUUUUUCUUUCUCCUGCACAUCAAAGUCAAUGAGGGAACCUACCCUUUCUUAAGAGGAUCUGAAGUUCACGGGUCAAGCUACUUUAUUUUUACCCUCUCCCCUUUUCUUCCUCUUUUUCCCUUUCGCCCUCUUCCACAGAGACUUGGUAAGACGGCCACGAAUCAUCCGUGAGCCCAUUAAUUAGUCCAAUCACUGGCAAACAGGCCCGCGUUAUCACUGCAGCACGACAGUCUUUUGGAGCUGAAAUUAAACCGUGCACACCACUGUUCCGGUGCCAAGGGGGAGUAGAGAUUUAGCUCCACUGGCGCGGCGCGCGGAUAAAUCACCACCACUAAGCAGCCAGCCGCACUGCAAUGGCAAAAAAAAAAAAAGCAGGGGGCAAAUAAAAUGCGCUGGUGUUUAUGACAAAAAAGGCCAUUAUGUGUGAUGACAAACAAGAGAUGAGCACUUUGGUUCUGAAAGAAAUCGCUUCAAAAAAGAGGGAAUGCCCGUCGGAAUGAAAGCGGAUAGAUGUGAUGAAAGAAAAGAUAAAAACUGAGAAGACUUAGGAAACGCGUAACUGAGAAGAACAGAGAUGCCAAAAAGAUCUUCGGCAAACAAGGACUCCUUUUAUCGAGAGAGACAGAUGAAAGGAAAUAUGUCAGAACUAAGUGACAGAGAGAAGGACAAGGGAUGGGAAAAUGCAGUGAUUGAAGGUGUGUGCAGUGGUGUGUGUGUGUGUGUGUGUGUGUGUGUGUGUUAAGUGGGUUGGAGUGUCUUUGUGCACAGCUGUGUGCGCACGUGCCCAAAUAUUUCCCGGGCCAGACUUUGGGGUUGUGUGAGUAUCACAAAGCUUAGGCCCUGUUUACUCUGCCCAGAAUUCAGAUGUUGGUAAUAAAUCCCGUGUUUGCUCAUUUAUUUUGGGGAAGUGCACCUCGCUUAUUAAACCCAUCCAUCACUCACGGCUCCUGAAUCAAUGACAUGCAGAGGAGAGCGGUGUCAGCACAGAGGCACGCGGGGAGAAUACCAUCGGCCCCUACGGAGGGGGCGAGGAGCGCUGAGGCAGGAAUGGAUCUAAGCCUAAACUCACUUUCUUGUGGGCAUUACUGAAACCAAAAAGGUGCCCGCGCCUUCCACACGGUUGAUGGUUUAAAUAUUGCAAACUGCAAAAAAAAAAAAAAGAAAGGUAUAUGUAAAUGUAAACCUUAAUUAGGCCAGGUAACUCAUUUACCUCCACCUGCAUUUGGUAUUCACAUAUUCAGCGCUAUCCCGUAUGGGCCUCAUUGAGGGGAACCAGGGGUGACACCCAGCCCAUCUGGAGGAUCCCUCUCUGGGAUUCACUCUCCUGUGGAAGAAGAGGGCAGCAUCAACCUCUUCUCCACAGCAGCUGCCGCAGCCGCCGCCCAGCCUGCCAGGCGCUUGUUAAAUAAGUCUGUCUCAGCCUGCGGACCUGAGCGAGGGGAAUAUGGAAGAGAUGUGGUUCAGCAGAGAGAAGAAAAGUUGGAGAGCAGAGUGGGAAGUGAGAGUGGGAAGGGGAGAAAUGGGGAGUGGGGGUCGUUGGGAAAGAGUCGGUAUGAAGUGGGACAUCAAAGGCUCACGAUUGUUUUUUCGUACUUUUCGGUGCCGCUGCUGAUCGGCUAAAAGAGAGGAGAAUGUCCGUCCCCCUGGUCGGCGGUCAGUAUCUGUCCAUGAGUUAUGAGUCCGUCCACCUGGCUGCUUGUUUAUUCGUGUGGAGAGAAAGAGGAGAGAGGCGCCGGAUUUCACCUGACCUGGAAACCCGAGACCACACAGGUCGGACUGAAAUGUACAUUAAUCAAUACGAUCUAUUUCUUUUUUUGCUCACUUGGGGCGAAGCACAAACAGCUGUAAACGCAGAAUUGUUGUAUUAACACUUGCCUGAGUUCAUAUGAUGAACAUGUUGGCAAUCAGUUCCACAUCUAACAGGCAGAGAAGCUUCAACGUUUCUUUGGAGUCAAGUGACGGGUCACCUGAAUGUGAGUCACAAAUUCCCUCUUUUUAACCUCAUGUUUUGGCUUCUACAAACUCCCGAGGGACACAUCUGCCCCUUAGCAGCAACAACCUCCACUCUGUUUACCAGCUAGCUUUGUUUGUCUGGCCGGGCAUCGUACAGUUGAUUCAUUAUUUCAUUCUCAAAACAAUAAACAAACUGCACGCGCAGCAUUUGUCUCCUAACGGUUACGUCUCAAUACAAGAGGGAGCCAUCUUGUCAAAUACAUUUAGAUGUUUUGUCGAUGAUUACGUUUGCUUUUGGCGAAUCACAUAUAGGUUUAUAACCAGUUUGUAAUCAUCUGUGUAAAGGAGAAGGUGGUGCAUGAGUCAAAAAUGAUGCUGUUUGUGUCCCGUGGGAACCAAUUACAUUUGUUGCCUAACGUUGUUGUAUUUCUGUGUCAAUUUUUAACUAAACUUAACCAAGAGGUUUUUCAGUACUUUCAAACCGUGACUGUAAUCUGUGAGAAAAUUCAUUUUCUUGGAAACAUUAUUGAUGAUGCAGUUUUGUUGUAUGGAAACAUAAUUUAAUCCAGUUAAACAAAACAUUGAUCCAAAUGCUGAAAGCUCCACAGAGUUGAGGGGAACCUCCAAACUUGGCGUCAGUUGACCUACAUGAAAAUAUUGAUUUGUGCAGCUUAAACUUGCAAAGUUGCGAGACGUGCUGUCCGAAGACAUGGACUUGGCUUGAGACAACUGAGACCUUCAGACCUGACCUUUGCUUGUAAGCAAUUUCCAGAUGCUCGUACUUUAGAUUUACAGGCGAGCAAUAUGAAUUAUGUUCUACUAAAAAGUGCAUGUAGGCAGCAUUCAGUAAGAAAUAUGCCGCGUUGAUUGAUUCAAUUAAAAUGUACUUUCUACAUGGCUCCACCUUGACGAGCCAGAGUAAUAUAUUUUUGAAUCAUUAAUAACAUUCAAAACAACUCUGUGCUGCACAAUGAGUACUUUUACGUUUAAAUGAAUUACACUUUUGAGUUAAUUACAUUUUUCCGAUAACACUGGGCUCAAAGACAAACUUCCACAACUGCAUAAAACCGAGUCAUACGGUUGAUUCUCUGUGGAGACUUGGAAAACUUGGGGGGGAGUAGACAGACAAGUUCAUCAUCAUCUAUCAGCGCCAAGAGGAAAAGCUCUAGGGCACGUUGGAGAAGCCACACACACACACAGUCUGGGAGGGCUUUUCUGUGUUUAUCCAAAGGGUCAACACUCUCCUGAGAUGAGCUCACUGGAAGGUCGGUGCGACCAUCACUCCUGUCGCUCUCAAAUGACCAUCAAUCACCACGCUAAUGCGAGAGUAAUGCUGGCAAGUCAGCCAGUUACCAAAUCCUAAUUGCAGGUAAUAUCAGCGAAGUCAACCAGAGACAUGCCACGAACUGAAUAACAUGGUUUGCAACAUGGUUCAUUUGGUAAAUAUUAACAAACGAGCCACCCGUAUCUUAUACUUCCGUGUUAAACACUUAUUCAGCUGAGUUCCGGCACUUUGGAGAAUGGCCCAGUGAGGGAAGCAGCGUGAGGGGCUAGAACAAACAUUUUGAGAGCGGACGCAAAAGUUUAAAUUUCAUAAUUUUGAGGACUUCUGUUGAGCUGGGAUGGUCUUAAGGUGCCAUGACGCUCAUGCAUAAAUCAUGCAAUCAUCGUCAAUGCAUAUUCAGUGAGGCUGCAUCGCUCUGCGUCUCUAUGGGAGAUUAGAGAGGAGCCCGGACUGUGACAAAACCCAGCUGAUUGUAAUGAGCUUUUUUUUUGUGGCUUCCUGCGCUGACAAAACAAGCCUAAAUUAAUCAUGAUACCUCCCUCCUACUGCGGCACGGAAGACUUGCGCUUCCAUCACUAGUCCCAGCUGUAAAUUGGACCCUGAGACAAACAUUUUCUCUGAUGCGAAGUGAAUUAGGCUUCAAACGGCUUUGAUUUAAGUCAUUCACAGCAAAUCGGUGAAAGAAUGUUUUCAAUAAUUGGCUUGCCUUUAUGUAACAUGAGUGAAAUGGUUGUA